rfam:Myotis lucifugus cont2.64760, whole genome shotgun sequence.
UAUCUCAAUGACUUCAAAUAUCAAGAGUUUAGUUUUCGUGUCCAGAAAUUUGUUAAUGUGGCUACAUUGAGACACAGGUUAUGCGUCCAUCACAGUAAUCUUAUUACAGUGGUGACAGUGAGACCUGUAACAUUU